rnacentral:rRNA from 1 species
UGCGUAGGUGGUUUCUUAAGUCAGAGGUGAAAGGCUACGGCUCAACCGUAGUAAGCCUUUGAAACUGGGAAACUUGAGUGCAGGAGAGGAGAGUGGAAUUCCUAGUGUAGCGGUGAAAUGCGUAGAUAUUAGGAGGAACACCAGUGGCGAAGGCGGCUGUCUGGUCUGUAACUGACGCUGAGGCUCGAAAGCAUGGGUAGCGAACA